rnacentral:rRNA from 1 species
GUGGGGAAUCUUCCGCAAUGGACGAAAGUCUGACGGAGCAACGCCGCGUGAGUGAAGAAGGUUUUCGGAUCGUAAAGCUCUUUCGUUAGGGACGAACGUGCUCUUUGUGAAUAAUGAGGAGUAAUGACGGUACCUAAAUAAGAAGCCACGGCUAACUACGUGCCAGCAGCCGCGGUAAUACGUAGGUGGCAAGCGUUGUCCGGAAUUAUUGGGCGUAAAGCGCGCGCAGGCGGGAUAUCAAGUCUGUCUUAAAAGUGCGAGGCUCAACCUCGUGAGGGGACAGAAACGGGUAUUCUUGAGUGUCGGAGAGGAAAGUGGAAUUCCAAGUGUAGCGGUGAAAUGCGUAGAGAUUUGGAAGAACACCAGUGGCGAAGGCGACUUUCUGGACGAUGUCUGACGCUGAGGCGCGAAAGCUAGGGGAGCGAACGGGAUUAGAAACCCGUGUAGUCC